AUUGAACGCUGGCGGCAUGCCUUACACAUGCAAGUCGAACGGUAACAGGUCUUCGGAUGCUGACGAGUGGCGAACGGGUGAGUAAUACAUCGGAACGUGCCUAGUAGUGGGGGGUAACUACUCGAAAGAGUGGCUAAUACCGCAUGAGAUCUACGGAUGAAAGCAGGGGAUCGCAAGACCUUGUGCUACUAGAGCGGCCGAUGGAAGAUUAGGUAGUUGGUGGGAUAAAAGCUUACCAAGCCGACGAUCUGUAGCGGGUCUGAGAGGACGAUCAGCCACACUGGGACUGGGACACGGCCCAGACUCCUACGGGAGGCAGCAGUGGGGAAUUUUGGACAAUGGGCGCAAGCCUGAUCCAGCAAUGCCGCGUGCAGGAUGAAGGCCUUCGGGUUGUAAACUGCUUUUGUACGGAACGAAAAGCCCUGGGUUAAUACCCUGGGGUCAUGACGGUACCGUAAGAAUAAGCACCGGCUAACUACGUGCCAGCCGCCGCCGUAACAC
rnacentral:rRNA from 1 species